GUCUCAGACUGGCUCCCCCAUUGAGGAGACUGUUGAGCUUUCGUGCUCUGACAGCUCUGUGUUAGGGAGCGACACUCUUGAGGUGGCAUGCGAUGGACUUCCUAGUGAACCGUCCUCACAGACAGAGACAGGGCAGUCAGGUGAUCUGCCCUGCUCUAUGACAGAGGAUACCACGCUAGAGGACAGCGAUGUUG